rnacentral:rRNA from 1 species
UACGGGGGGGGCAAGCGUUGUUCGGAAUUACUGGGCGUAAAGGGCCAGUAGGCGGCCAACUAAGUCCGACGUGAAAUCCCCAGGCUUAACCUGGGAACUGCGUCUGAUACUGGAAGGCUCGAGUUCGGGAGAGGAAUGUGGAAUUCCAGGUGUAGCGGUGAAAUGCGUAGAUAUCUGGAGGAACACCGGUGGCGAAGGCGGCAUUCUGGACCGAAACUGACGCUGAGGCGCGAAAGCCAGGGGAGCAAACGGG